rnacentral:lncRNA from 1 species
UCUCCGGCCACCAAAUUGGCGUCGAAGGGUUCUUGGAGUUUUCGGGAAAAAUUUCACCGGCCUAAUUGGAGCUCUUCCAGGGCGACGUACCGAGCUAUUGCUCGACGAAGGAACUCGUAUGCAUGGUCGCCUAAACAGUAUUUUUGCAGGCCAGUUUAGCUUGAGGUCGAGCGUACUUGGGGUUGAGGCAUAGCUGUCAUAGCUUCCGCAUUAUAAAAGCAUCGGUCAUUUAUCUUGCUUUCUAUUCUCUUGUUCGCCUGUAUAUUAGAUUGCUCUGAUAACCUAUGAGAUUAAUAUUCUUAAGUUUCAGAAUUGUUUGGUGAUAUGAGAGAUGUUGUGAUAUAGGGAGCAGGGUGGCUCCAGGAGAAUAAGGAUGGAUGAUUUAGAAGUGUAAUUGUUUUUCUACAGGUUUUGGGUUGUCCAUUUUUAGGGGAAGUUCUGUCAAAUUUUUGGUAGAAUUUCUUCUAAGGUGGGCCCCGCAGGGCCUCUUCGGAUUUCAGGGUGAAAUCCGG